rnacentral:rRNA from 1 species
GAUGAACGCUGGCGGCGUGCCUAAUACAUGCAAGUCGAGCGAACGGACGAGAAGCUUGCUUCUCUGAUGUUAGCGGCGGACGGGUGAGUAACACGUGGAUAACCUACCUAUAAGACUGGGAUAACUUCGGGAAACCGGAGCUAAUACCGGAUAAUAUUUUGAACCGCAUGGUUCAAAAGUGAAAGACUGUCUUGCUGUCACUUAUAGAUGGAUCCGCGCUGCAUUAGCUAGUUGGUAAGGUAACGGCUUACCAAGGCAACGAUGCAUAGCCGACCUGAGAGGGUGAUCGGCCACACUGGAACUGAGACACGGUCCAGACUCCUACGGGAGGCAGCAGUAGGGAAUCUUACGCAAUGGGCGAAAGCCUGACGGAGCAACGCCGCGUGAGUGAUGAAGGUCUUCGGAUCGUAAAACUCUGUUAUUAGGGAAGAACAUAUGUGUAAGUAACUGUGCACAUCUUGACGGUACCUAAUCAGAAAGCCACGGCUAACUACGUG